UUGCCUUAAACUAAUGAGUAAGGAAAACAAAGCGAUCGGUGAAAGCCGCUAGCCGCGCAGAACACAAAAUUUGUGUGCAUGAAUUUAUGGAGGGGUUAUAGGCUGGCCGAGCGUUGGCGCUGCUUACUUUUGCAGAACUCGCUUGAGCGGGCCUCCC